AAUGAACGCUGGCGGCGCGCCUAAUACAUGCAAGUCGAGCGAGAAGACGUAGCAAUACGUUUGUAAAGCGGCGAACGGGUGAGGAAUACAUGGGUAACCUACCCUCGAGUGGGGAAUAACUAGCCGAAAGGUUAGCUAAUACCGCGUACGCUUCUUGGACUUCGGUUCAGGGAGGAAAGCGAUGCCGAGGGUAUCGCGCUCUUGGAUGGGCUCAUGUCCUAUCAGCUUGUUGGGAGGUAACGGCUCACCAAGGCUUCGACGGGUAGCUGGUCUGAGAGGACGAUCAGCCACACUGGCACUGCGACACGGGCCAGACUCCUACGGGAGGCAGCAGUAAGGAAUAUUGCGCAAUGGGCGAAAGCCUGACGCAGCGACGCCGCGUGGGGG
rnacentral:rRNA from 1 species